rnacentral:lncRNA from 1 species
CCGCACCCUAGGACCGUCGCGGCGGCCCGCCGGGAACGGGGCGGGGGUCGUGACAGAGGUGGUAUCAGAGCAAAGGUUAAGAAGAGUCCUGUCAGAGCAAUAGGAUGAGUCAGGAUUAAGUAUAGGAUUAUACUAUGGAGCAUAGGAUUUUUCUAUAUGUUAAUUUAUGAGUCAUUUACAACUCAGUAAAAUAUAUAAUGACUCAGUGUGUAACGACCAUCCUCUCUUUUUGACUUUUUUAGAGAGAUAUAAAGAAUACCUCCAAGGAGAGGACCGGCUCGUCCUGGAAGGAGGAUGGAGCCAGAUAUAGUAUUGGAUGCGGGUUCUGCACAUGUCGAGCCCCAAAGAGAAAAAUUUCCUCCUGCUGAUAGACGGAGGGUUGAUGAUCAAGGAGAGGUAGGAAGUAGAGAUGCAUUAAUGGAACAGUUACUGGCGGAGAAUCAGGCUCUGAGAGAGCAGAUUGCUCGGGGGAAACCUCCUGCCCCGUCAGUAGUAUCCAUCCCACCUCCUGUACCUGUGCCAAGAAGUUUGGCCAGGCGGGCUCUAGAUGAUGAGGGGAUUACUAUACAGGAAUUUCUUAGGCUCAGAACCCCAGAGUUUAANNNNNNNNNNNNNNNNNNNNNNNNNNNNNNNNNNNNNNNNNNNNNNNNNNNNNNNNNNNNNNNNNNNNNNNNNNNNNNNNNNNNNNNNNNNNNNNNNNNNNNNNNNNNNNNNNNNNNNNNNNNNNNNNNNNNNNNNNNNNNNNNNNNNNNNNNNNNNNNNNNNNNNNNNNNNNNNNNNNNNNNNNNNNNNNNNNNNNNNNNNNNNNNNNNNNNNNNNNNNNNNNNNNNNNNNNNNNNNNNNNNNNNNNNNNNNNNNNNNNNNNNNNNNNNNNNNNNNNNNNNNNNNNNNNNNNNNNNNNNNNNNNNNNNNNNNNNNNNNNNNNNNNNGAAGGCUGGGAGGUGAUCGCGGCCGGAUCACAAGAGAAGAUUGCUCACGGGGUGAAGACGGACUUGUAGGGAGAGGAGGACUGGAUGCCGUGGAUGAAGCGGACGCUGGGACCAUGAACACGGGAGAAUCACGCUGAGAGCUGGACGCGUGAAUGGAGGAGGCGGACGCUGGGAGACGCGAGGCAGAUGAAAUUUGGGUGAGCGGAAACAGGGGAUGCACGCGUGAGAGGAGCUGGAGAUUGGGUGCGGGAGAUCAGAUCACAUAUCCUGAUUCGGGGGAAAGAUCACAGUUCUUUGGACUUGUGAAUGGUUGAGGUGGGUGAAAUCUGGUUGAGGGGAUGCGGCUUGCACGCGGAGAUGCUUGCGAGAUGAUGGGCUCGACUAGGCCAUGGCGAGAUCGGGUGCGCACAGCUUGGGCUAUGCAUCUUCCUGAACCAAAUUUGUAUCAAAUAUGCAUUUUAUUUCUGAUUUACGAUAACCUAUAUGAAACAAAAGUAUAAUAUUAACUUGACGAAAUUAUCAUCAUCUGUUAACAAUAAGACUAAUUUAAGUGAUAUGUCGAUCGCACUUUUGUGCUCUCAUCACCUAUAGUCGACGGGGGUUGAACAUCGGCCUUUGUGCACAUAGUAGCCUUCUGGGUGGGCGGAGCCCAGUCCCUUCCUAGAGGGGACACGGCCCUAGGCGUAGGAUCGGCCGGUCCUACGACUUAUAUUCUGCUUGCCGCCGGGUAUAGUAAGACCCCGCGAGGUGCAGUAUGGCCUUCUGCAGAUGUAGAAUUCCCGCGAGGUGCCGUUUAUUAUAUAGAUGUGAGAUGUUUCUAUGAAUUUCUGUUCUGGAUACUGGCCAGCAUUUACAUGAUCAGUGUGGUGUCUUAUCCUGCACAUGCAUGUGACAGUAGGAAGUUGUUGCUGGUUCACCUGGGGCGUAAAACCCACCUCCCGAUAGCUAUCUAGCAUUUAUAUUAUCGGUAUGGUGUCUUAUCCUGCAUAUGCAUGUGACAGUAGGAAGUUGUUGCUGGUUUGCCUAGGGCGUAAAACCCACCUCUCGAUAGCUGUCUUGUUGAUGAUUCAGCCUAUUGACACCUGAUUUAUAUAUUUUAGUACUAUAACCUGUUGAGCAUAUUCAUGUUAUCAUACAUACUUCUUUGAUUAUUCUAUAUAUGCUCCGGAUGAGUUGAUUGGGAUUAUGAUGAUUUACUCCAUAUUCUCUAUGUUGAGUUCAAGUUCAUCUUGUUAUUAAUCUUGAGAUUUUACCUCGAGCCAUGAUUAUAUCUUGUCUCAUGUGUAUAGUACUCUCUACUCCACUCACUGAGUAUUUAUAUACUCACUCCCCAGUUUGGUGUUUUUGAUUGCAGGGCAGGUAUUGUAUAGAGAGGAGCAGGAUUAGAGAUUGCCUGCUAGUUGUGCUGCUCCAUAGUAUAGUAUAAUAUAGACAAAGAUUUAUACAUUUUGGUGUAUUAUAAACCUUCUAUUGUAUAUAGUGUAUAGUUACAGUCAUAGAUCCUAUUGUGGAUAUGGGUUUGACCAUGGAUGGCAUAGGAACCAGAUUUUUAUACAAANNNNNNNNNNNNNNNNNNNNNNNNNNNNNNNNNNNNNNNNNNNNNNNNNNNNNNNNNNNNNNNNNNNNNNNNNNNNNNNNNNNNNNNNNNNNNNNNNNNNNNNNNNNNNNNNNNNNNNNNNNNNNNNNNNNNNNNNNNNNNNNNNNNNNNNNNNNNNNNNNNNNNNNNNNNNNNNNNNNNNNNNNNNNNNNNNNNNNNNNNNNNNNNNNNNNNNNNNNNNNNNNNNNNNNNNNNNNNNNNNNNNNNNNNNNNNNNNNNNNNNNNNNNNNNNNNNNNNNNUCAUGACAGUUGGUUCAUCCUUUGGGUGACAACCACAGGAGGUUUGAGGGGCUGUUGUCUCAGGGUUUUAGAAUCCUAAAAUAGAGGGUUAAAAGGAGAUAGAGUCCCUCCAAAACAACAACCAGGAUAGGAGGUUAAAGGCCCUUGAAGUUAGUUCAGUCAACCUUAACCGAGCAUUGAAAACUUUGUUCGAUACUUUGGCUGUGAAUAUGGCUGAAAUAAGGAGGGGGAAUAAUGCCACCAUUGAGAGGUUGGAAAGGAGGAUACUAGAGAGUGAAAAUAAGAGGGUGCAAGAAGAAGUGCCUAGGUCACAUGCCGCAUGGCAGGGCCGAGCAAGGUAUGAGAGCGAUGCCAUUAGCGUUUAGGGUACACAUCAUGUAGAUCAUGACAUUAGGCACCAUGGCCGAAGGGGAGGAGGAAUUGAAGCCGAAGGCUUAGUGUUUGAGAGGUGGCUUGAUGAUGAACGGGUUAGCAGUGGCCAUAAAAGUCAUGAUGAGGCCGAUAGUGAACCCGAAGUGCAUCCCUUCCGUGCUCAAAGGCCUCACGGCCGGAGAGAAUCCAUGGAAAGGAGAGGAAGAAACAUGCGAGGUGAUAACUUUGGAGAUGAUGACUUUAGAGGUCCACGACCUAGAGAAGAAGGUUUAGAAAAUCCAAAAUCAAUUUUCCAAAGUUUGAGGAGAUCCAUAUGAGUGGCUUGACAAGGCGGAUCAAUACUUUGGCGUUUAUGAUAUUCCACAGGUUAAUCGGGUUACCCUAGCGAGUUUACACUUAAAGGGUAGGGCUAGCCGAUGGUGGAGGUUGAUCCGGGCUUUGUAUGAGAAGGAAGGGAGAAGAUUAGGUUGGAUUGCCUUUGUUGAUGAAUUCAUGAAAGAAUGGGGACCUUCCCUCGUUGUCAACCACCAUGGCCAACUUGCAAAACUCAAGUAAGAAGGCAAAGUCCAUACCUACAUCAACGAGUUCCGGCAAUUGCAAACAAUGGUCAGUGGAUAGUCCGAGGAAUCCUUAGUUGGAACCUUUAUCGACGGCCUCAAACCGUGGCUUGCCAAGGAGAUCAAACUCAAACAACCAACGCGGCUACAAGAGGCGAUACGCAUGGCGAAAAUCCUCGACCAAAGCUACAACCCGAAGCGGCGGAUAUCCAAGGAUGGUGCAGGCAACAAGCACACCGAAUUCCCACCAUCCAAGGCAACGAAUGAAGGCAAAGAAGAGGCCAGAACCAACAACAAACACCGGCCGAAGGAGGUAAAAAAACUGACUCGUGAUGAGCUGAAGGAUUACAUUAAAAAGGACUUUGUUUCAAGUGCGGUGAAAAGUAGAGCCGGGAGCAUCAUUGCACGACCGGCCAAGUCUACAUCCUUGAUGCAAGCAACGAGGAAGAGGAUGAGGUGUCUGAAUUUUUUGAUGAAGAUGGUGAAAAAUCUGAACAAAAGAAGGCUGAGAAUUAUGAAGUGAGCAAAGAAGUUGAACUUUUAUUGCAUGCCAUGUCGGGAGUUCAAAAACCUUCUACCAUGCGGCUUACGGCAUGGAUCGGUACGCAUGAAAUUUCUUUAUUGAUUGAUUCGGGCUCUUCGCAUAAUUUUAUUAAUACAAAGACACUUCAAAAAGGUGGGCUUGAAAGGUGCAUCGGUGGAGCCCCUUUGAGUUAAAAAUUGAGAGUGAAGAGAGGAUGAAGUGAGAAGAGAUUGUUAGAAAUGUAAAAAUGAAGGUCCAAGGAGUUCAGAUUAGUGUUGAUUUGCAUGUACUACAAUUGGUAGGACUAGAUGUGGUACUUGGAAUUUCAUGGCUUUGGAGGUUGGGCAAGAUAGAGAUAGAUUAUGAGAUGAUGACCAUGAAGUUCAGACUUGGCGGACGAAUGAGGAAGUGGACCGCUUGGGGUAGCAAUGACAUGAGAUCUUGUGAGGCCAAUAUGUUGGAGGCACUGUACGGCCGAAUGCCUAAAGAAGAAGCUACAUAGGAGGCCAAUGAAGGAGUUCGACAACAUUCAGAGCAUAUCCGUAGGAAAAAAGAUAUUUUUCAAGGAAGAGAGUUUGUUGAGGACCCACGCAAGCAACGCCGCCAUAGUGCCAAGCCAAGAGAGAACCAUGCGCCAACCGAAGGCCAAAGUGGCCAAAAGAUGUGUCUUGUGGUCAGACGAUCCUUGGCCGACCACGAGAUUCAUCCACGACUUUAGCAUCGCGUGGGAUCCGCCCACACGCAAAACCUCGCCUCGUCAACGCAACGAGCAUUCGGACCUCGGCCAAAAGGCCGACCUUAGAAGGCCGAGCCAACCUCAGGAGGCCGAGAAGACUUUAGGAGGCCGAGCCGACCUCAGAAGGUUGAGCCGACCUCAGCUAGAGGCCGAGCCGACCUCAGCCAGAGGCCAAGCCAACCUCAACUCGAGGUCGAGUCGACCUCGGCCCUGUCAAUCAAAGAUUCUGCAGAUCCUCAGAAUCACGAGUCCCGGCCAUCCGGGAUGCACAUCCCAUGCAUCCAGGAUGCGGGUCCCAUGCAAAUCCCGGAGAUCAAGUUGGAGAUCUACUAGGACUCCUCCAAGCCAUUGAUCGCAGCCAAAUCAAGGGAGGAGAGGCCUUGCACGCAGCCACAUCAAUAAGAAUCCAUGGGGAAGUUGUUUUCCAUGUUUAGCUUAGCUUUUAUGUUAGGGAGAUUUACCUUACGUUGGUCUUUCAUCAUAACUAGGAGUCCUAGGGUUUUGAGUCUAUAAAAGGGGCUGCAGGGAGCCAUUAAAUCUCAAUGUGCUGGUGAAGCAAAUCAUUCCCAUUUUCAGACAAAGAAGACAUAGGAGGCAUCCCCGAAUAAUUCCAGAGUUGAGUUUAGUCUUGUUCUCUUGUGAGAGAGUCAGUCGUAAGGCUUGGGCAGCAUUGUGCCAAUUUUGAUCCUUAGAUCUUGUAUUCUAGGACUUGGGCUAGUAGUUAAUACAUCAAUCUCUACUAUAUUGGGCUAGGAAGGGAUCCUUUCAAUCUUUUGCUAGAUUUGGGCUAGUAGAGAUCCUUAAUUGCUUUACUAGAUUGUCUUGAUUGUUCUUGUUAUUGUUUGUUCUUCAAUUUGAGUAGAAUAAAAUUGAGUUUAGCCACAUUUUUGAUUUUUGUAUUGCUUUAUUCCGCCAGCGUUACCUGCAAUCGGUCUAUCAUCUGCGAUUUUUGGAGGCGCACACAAGGAGCGCGAAAAAAGGGGCAUGGUGAGGGGCUUUGGACCGUGAGCCCCCAUCACGCCACCGGCCAUGGCCUGGCCCCCUCCCGUGACCGCCGUGGCCCGGCCCCCUUCCGAUGCCGCCGGCCUCGCGGGAGGAGAAGAAAGGAGAAGGGAGGAAGGAAGGAAGGAGAAGAAGAGAAGAAAAAAGAAACUAAAAAGAAAAGAAAAAAAGAAAAGAAAAGGAAGAAAAGGAAAGAAGAAAAAGAGAAGAAAAGAAAAAAAAGAAAAGAAUAAAUAAAUAAAUAAAUGCAUAAAUAAAUAUGUAUAUAAAUGAAUGAAUAAAUGAAUAAAUAAAUAAAUAAAAUAAUAAAUAAAUAAAUAAAAUAAUAAAUAAAUAUAUUUCAAUGAAUAAAUAAAUAAAUAAAUGCAUAAAUAAAUAUAUAUAUAUAUACAAAUGAACAAAUAAAUAAAUAAAUAAAUAAAUAAAAAGGAAUAUAAUGAGUGAGUGGCAAAUAAUCUGAUCUUUAUGAUAUUAAUAGGUACAGCGAAUUUGUCACUAAUGCAAUUAGUUAAGUAAAGAUAUAAUUUGUUAAAGAGAUAAAUAGUCAUCAAAAAGGUGAAAAAUUAAUUUAAACUAAUAAUUAUAAUAUUUUAUAUAUUUAUUGUUGUAUUAUAUUAUAAAUAUAAUAUUAUAUUACAUUAUAUCAUAAUACAUUGAUAUGCUAUGUUAAAUAAUUUAAUAUUAUAUUAAAUUAUUAUCCUAUAGUAUACAAAAUUAUAGUACUAUAUUAUAAUAUCAUUAUAUUACAUUAUAGUAAUAUUAUACUAUAUCGUAUAUUUAUAUAUUAAUAAAUGUUAUAUUUAUUAUGCUGUUUUGUAUAAUACUCUGCAAUGUCCUUUAUGGUAAUUUUAUCAUACAAAAGUAUUUUCUCAGUUUAUUUACUAAACACAUGUUAAAGUGCCACAGCACUUUAGAAAUGUAUUUACCAAACAGUAAACAACUUUUUAUAAAAGUUCUACUUUAGAAAGCUCUACUUCCAACAGUUCUACUUCCAAAAGCUAUACUGCCAACAACUUCUCCAAAUGGAGCCUUAUAUGAAGGUCCUUGAUUUAUCUCCAUUACUUGGACCUGAAGAAAUAGGGUGCACCGACCAUAGGGCUGGGCCAUAAAUAUUUAUCUUAGUUCUGGUUCUGUGUUGAAAAAAAAAAGAAAAUCAUUGUCAUGUGCAUUUAAUACUUUACUUUAAUUUCUUCGUCAUCUGUGUAUUUUGUGUUCUGCAAAUCUCAUUGGCAGAUUCUCUUUCUAAAGUAGAGCCGAUCAUAAGCCGAAUCUCAGACCUAAAUUAUAUUUAUUUUUAGUUAAGCUUCAAGCUAAGUCUAUUUAAAAUUUGACAUUUUCUAUGCUAUCAAAGAUAUUUGUAAGCCACCUAAACACUAACGGAAAAGAGUCUUUUGUGAUUUUUUUUUGGUGUACCGGCGACUCACUACAUCAGUCGUGAGUACGCCCAGAGUGAUCACAGUACAAAACAUGCUCUAGUGCCACCGGCAUGUGCUCCAAUCUCCCCUAGAGGACACCCCCAGAGUGGUGUCCUGUAAAAGAGGUGACCUAGUCCGCCGCACUGUUUGCCUUCCGAAAGACGUAGGCAACUCGGAACAAGUCUAACUCCCCCACAAGAUGGUAGAUAUCAUAAACAAGAGGGUGCAGGUCUGGCCUGACAUGCCUGCUCCAAAUUCCGUCGACCACUAUCAUCGAGUCUCCCUCUAGUAGGACUCGCCGAGCACCCAGGUGCACUCUGGCCUGAACGAGGCCCUUCCAUGCCGCUUGCAGCUUCGCUACUAAGACAGACUCGUCAAAGAUGCGCCAUCCUCCUGCUGCAAUCAGCCUAGAGUCGUGGUCUCUGAUCACAAAAUCCAUGCCGCAUCUGCUCCCGCCCUCUGAAAUAUUACCGUCAAAAUUCACCUUGAAGAAACCGGGGGGUGGGAGCUCCCAGGAUACCAUCGGUAUCGUCGCGUAGUUAGAUGCAGAAGGAGUCAAAGAGGAACCCCAGAUGGUGAUACUUCCUAAAGAUGAUGCUUUCUAAAGGUGUCGAAAAAUAUAAAGAAAUUUUUAAGCAUGCCAGAAUAUGGUGAUACUUUUUAAAGGUGUCGAAAAAUGACGACGCUUAACUGUAAUUUAUGCUUGUCUACAAGCCAGCAAGAAAGUUAACUGGCAAUGCAUUUUUUUGUCACCUACAAGCCAUCAAGCGUCAGAAACUUUUUCCAAUUGAAGAUGUAUUUGAGUGUCAUCGCAAAAUAUUGUCGAGUGAAAAAUUGGCGCCCAAUAAUUUUUGUUCUCGUGCCCUUCCUCAGACUCUCCUCUCAGCAUCGUUUCACAGCCUCUUCAGUCCCAAUCCCAUGCCCCCGCCGACCAACUCCACCUUUUCUCAAAGUCCUCCUCCUCCUCCUCUCCUUUUUUCAAAGUAAUUUUCACGACCAGCUCUUCUUCCUCGUCUCCUCCCACCCUUUGUUUGCUAGGGUUUCUAUUGGAAGGUAGAGGUCAUUGGCUCGAGCAUCGAAUUUCGAUCUUCUUCUGAACAAAGUUUGUUCCCCCUCCCCCAAUUCUUCGAGCUUGGAUUGGUUUUGGAUGCAUAGCAUGGUUUGAUCUGACCUGUCGACAUGUGAAAUCCUCUCCUUUAUUCUUGUUAAUUUUGUCCACCCAAAUUGAUUGCUAGACUUUUACUAUUAGGCAUCGGUGAAAUUUUACUUAUUAAGGUUUCAAUGAUCUGUCUGCCCAAAUUGAAAUGCCCUUUCCACAAAUUAGAUGUUAAUGGAUUUUCUUGUGUGUUUAGUUUAAUUUCUUCUAAAUAGGAUUGUGAUUUCUAUGUUUCUUCCUUUGUACUGUGAUAGAAAGAAGCUUAUCAAUUGCAAUGUUUGGUGUUAUCUUUUAUAUGAUGUUAUUUUGUUUUUCCUUUUCCUUAUAGUAUUUCGGUUCAAAAUAUGUUUUUUAUGUUUUUGUAUUAUCUUCCCAUUCUAUGUUGCUGAAGAAUUAUUUUGUUGAUUGCCAUGACAGAUAAGUAGCAAAGCUCUUUGAACAUUUUUGUUGUUUUUACAGAUCAAUAUUGUUGCCCAAGAUAUUGAAACAUAAAUAGAUUCCAGCUCCUUUGACCAUUCCAACUUUGACUUGGAAGAACUCCACUUCAAGAACAGAGCAACCGAAGCCAACAAACAUAACUACUUUAACCAUUUUUAGUUAGACAGUUAACCUUUCUGUUGAUUAGUUAUUCAGUUGAUGUAUCAUUAUAAAUAGAUCAUAUCAUGUAAGGAGAAGAAUUCAAUUCAAUUCAUUCAGAAAUAAAGUUGUAUUUCUUUCUUCUCAUCUCUCCUAUUUUUGAACAGAUUUUCUUGGAAACUUCUUUACAUGGUAUCAGAGCUAUGAAAGCACCUCCCUAUGGCUGCCUCCGCUCACAGCAGUGCCGACUCAGUACCUUUGCUAGUUCUAAGCAUAGCUGAAGACCCAACAAAUCCAUACUUUCUACAUCACGAUGACAGCACAGGUUUGCAGCUCAUCUCUCUAAUCUUGAAUGAGGAAAACUAUUCCACUUAGAGCAGGUUAAUGAUUAUAGCCCUGAGUGUCAAGAACAAGGAAGGAUUUGUUGAGGGAAGUAUCCCUCAACCUCCACCAAAUGAUUCACACCAUGCAGCCUGGAGAAGAUGCAACAUGGUGGUUUCCACAUGGAUCUUAAAUUCCAUCUCAAAGGAGAUGAGCACCAGCGUAAUCUACAUGGAAACAACAAAGAAAAUUUAGCUCGAUUUGAAAGAAAGAUUCAGCCAAAGCAAUGGUCCAAGAAUUUGCCAAUUGCAGAAGACGAUCUCUUCUCUUUCUCAGAAUCAUGGGAGUGUGAUCUCCUAUUUCACUCACUUGAAGGGGCUCUGGGAAGAGUUAGCAAACUUCAAACCUCGGCAGCAACAAGAAUAUCAGUCCGAAGAACAAGUCAUCCAAUUCCUGAUGGGAUUAGAUGACUCCUACUUAAACAUACGUGGGCAAAUCCUGUUGAUGGAUCCUCCACCACCAAUCAACAAGGUAUUUGCCCUUGUACUCCAAGAAGAGAGACAACGUGAGGUGACUGUCAUAAUUCAAAGCCCUGAAGUUGCUGUGUUUGCUAGUAAAAUCUGUGACAGGUCACUUCACAAUAAACAUUCUUCAUUCAAUCCAAAACUCAUUCAAAGGCAGAAUACUAUGGGACAACUUCAUAGAAAAGAAAGACCUACAUGUAGCCAUUAUGGAAAACCAAGUCACACAAAGGAUAAGUAUUACAGACUUCAUGGUUUUCCACCCGGUUUCAAUUUUAUAAAAGGAAAAGCUCCUGCAGCUAACCAAACUUCUAGUGUUAUAGCCCCAGAUCUCCCGUAUGAUCUCUCUAAGCUCACCAUCACUCCGAAUCAGUGUCAAAAGAUACUUUCUGUUCUUUUGCAACCCCAAAUGCAGUCUUCUGCGAUGACUGCUACCAUAAAAGAUGUGCCACAGUCUUCGGUGAACCAGGUUGGGAGUAUUCAAAUGACAGCCAAAAAUUCCAGGUCAUCAUCUAUUCCCAAUUUCUCAGAUAAUUCUGCUUGUCUGAAGAAUGUCCUUGCUCGAAAUCAAAGCCAUGUCCCUUGGAUUAUAAAUACUGGAGCCACAGAUCACGUGGUAUGUUCUAUCUCUUAUUUUUCUACAAUCACGGCUAGCAUAAAUGCCACUGUGAAGCUCCCUACCGGCGAACGAACCCCUGCGAUGCAUGUGGGAAUAGUCAAAAUUUUGAAGUUCCUCACAUUGACAGAUGUUCUGUGUGUUUCAAAGUUUUCAUUCAACCUUAUUUCAGCCAGCAAACUUAUAGGUUCACACCACUGUUGCUUGAUGUUUUUGUCUGCAAUCUGUUUCAUACAGGACCUAUUGAAUUGGAGGGACGAUUGGAAUGGAGAGACUUGAAGAUAGCUUAUAUCAUCUUCAGCUGAAUGAAACCCAAACUGCUGCAGGUACUCUAAACUCUUUAUUGUCAAAACCUUCCUCUUCAUUGUGUUCAUAUGUUGUUGGUAGUUCUCAUGAGUUUGACCUUUGGCAACGUAGAUUAGGACACCUAUCUUUUCCACGACUUUGUUUGUUGAAUAAAUCUAUUUCUGAAAUGAAUGUUUGCUUGAGUAACCAUUGUAACAUUUGCCCUAUUGCUAAACAACAGAGAUUGAGUUUUCCUCCCAGCAAUCAUGUUUCAAGUUCAGUUUUUGAAUUAGUACACUGUGACAUAUGGGGAACUUUUUCCACACCCUCUCUUGAUGGCUCCAAAUAUUUCCUUACCAUUGUUGAUGAUUAUAGUAGAGCUACUUGGGUCUAUCUCAUGCAAUCCAAGACACAAACUAGAGACUACAUUCGGUCCUUCUAUGCUUUAAUUGAAGUUCAAUUUUCAUCUAAGAUAAAAAUGAUUAGAUCAGAUAAUGGUAAGGAAUUCAAAAUGAGAUAUUUUUAUAACUCCAAGGGAAUUAUCCAUCAACUUAGUUGCAUUGAUACCCAUCAACAAAAUGGAGUGGUAGAGAGAAAGCAUCAGCAUAUACUUAAUGUAGCUAGGGCAUUAAGGUUUCAGGCAAAUCUACCUUUAAAUUUGUGGGGAGAAUGUGUUUUAACAAUAGUUUAUCUUAUCAAUAGACUGCCAACUCCAAAAUUAUCUAGCCAAUCCCCUUAUGAGGUUUUAUUCUCUUCAAAACCUUCUUACAUGCAUUUGAGGGUAUUUGGUUGUCUAUGUUAUGCUUCCACUCUAAAAAGACAUAGUUCUAAGUUUGAUCCAAGAGCCAAACAAUGUAUUUUCAUUAGUUACCCUCAUAGCAUAAAGGGCUAGAAACUUUAUGACAUUCAAUCUAAACAGAUAUUCAUUUCUCGGGAUGUUGUGUUUCAUGAAUUUGAAUUUCCCUUUCAACAUGUUGUUUCUCCUACAUUGAACAAUACAUUUCAGUCUUGUGAUACCAUAUUUUCCCCUUCAUCUGUAGUUAGCAGUGAAUACUCAUAUCCAAUUAGACCAAAUAUAAUUUCUGCACCCUUUGCUGAAAAUUCUGGUUCAGGCAGCACACCCACCGGCAUGCCUGAUGGCACGCCCCAUAAAUCAGUCUAUUCCCUCCUCCUUCACUCCCUCUUACAUCAAUAAUGCCAAUUAUGCCCCCUCAAAAUCAGCCUCUUAGGAGGUCUUCUAGGCUCAAUCCUACACUCCUUUCAAAAUCUGCACUAUUACCCAUUUCUUCUCCCACUCAGCACCUUAGAAAAUCUUCUAGGAUUUAGCAACCUCCUGCUUAUCUAAAAGAGUACCAUUGCAGUUUGGCCUCUUCAAAUCCUCACCUUCAAUCACUCCAAAAUCAGCAAGGGUCCCAUACAGAAUUAGGAAAACCCUAUGACAUCUCUCCUUUUUUGAAUUAUGCAAGGCUUUCUCCAUCUCACCAUGCUUUCACUUUAUCCAUUUCAUCAUCAAUCGAUCCAAAGAAUUAUGCAGUAGCCUCUAUGUCUCCUAAGUGGUGUGAUACAAUGGAAGCUGAAUUAAAAGCACUGAAUGACAAUCAUACUUGGACCAUCACUUAAGGAAAGAAACCAGUGGAUUGUAAAUGGGUCUAUAAAACAAAAUUUAAAGCAGAUGGGACUGAGAAAAGGAAGAAAGCCAGGUUAGUUGCAAAAGGGUAUACUCAACAGGCCGGUUUGGAUUAUUAUGAUACUUUCUCCCCAGUUGCUAAGAUGGUUAUAGUUAAAACAUUAUUAGCAAUUACAACAAUUAAGAAUUGGCAUUUGCAUUAGCUUGAAGUUAACAAUGCAUUUUUGCAUGGGGAUUUAAAUGAAGAAGUAUAUAUGAACUAACCUCUAGGAUAUGAGCUUCAGGGGAAGAAAGGUAAGAAGAUGGUUUGCUGUCUAAACAAAUCCAUAUAUGAAUUGAAGCAAGUUUCAAGACAAUGAUUUGCUAAACUAUCCACAUUCAUCAUGUUCCAUGGUUUUACUCAAUCUAAGGCUGAUUAUUCCUUGUGUGUAAGAAAGAAUGGAUGUUCCGACAUUGCAAUCCUUGUAUAUGUUGAUGACAUAAUACUUGCAGGGAAUGACCUCUCAUAUAUAAAUGAUCUCAAGAAAAUUCUUGAUGCUUUAAGCUCAAGGAUCUACGAACUCUAAAUUUCUUCCUCGGUCUUGAGAUAGCCAAAAUCUCCAAAGGGAUCUCUAUAUGUCAACGAAAGUAUGCCUUAGAGAUUUUAGAAGAUGCUAGUUACCUCGGCUCAAAACCAGUUAGAUGCCCCAUGAUACAAAAUUUGAAAUUGAGCAGAUUUGAAGGACAACUAAUUGAGGAUCCUACAAUUUAUAGAAGAUUGAUAGGCAGGCUAUUGUAUCUUACUAUAACAAGGCCCAAUUUAAGUUCCUCUAUGCAAGUUCUAAGUCAAUGUAUGGAUUCACUAAGACAACCACACUUGGAAGCUGCAUAUAGAGUGUUAAGAUACUUGAAAGCCACACCAGGGCACGGUUUGUUUCUCCCAUCAAAUUUCAAACUUUAUUUGAAAGCAUUUUGCGAUGCAAAUUGGGCAACCUGCUUGGAUACGCAUCAAUCAGUCACUGGAUUUUGCAUCUUCCAUGGAGAAUCCCUUAUUUUAUAAAAGUCGAAGAAACAACAUAUUGUUUCCUAGUCUUCUGCUGAGGCCGAAUACCGAUCCAUGGCUUCAACAUGCUAUGAGAUUCAAUGGUUAUUAAAUCUUCUCAAAGAUUUGGAUGUUCAACACAUAAAGCCAGUAUUAUUGUUUUGUAACAACCAAGUAACAUUAUAUAUUGCUGCCAAUCCAGUAUUUCAUUAGAGAACAAAACACAUUGAAAUUGAUUGUCAUAUUGUGAGAGAUAAGCUUCAGUUGGGGAUCAUUCGAACUCUUCAUGUAUCAAGCGUUAUGCAGCUUGCUGACUUAUUGACAAAGGCACUCGAAAUAAAUAGAUUCCACGCUCUGAUGCACAAGAUGGGUGUACAUGAUUUGUACUCUCCAUCUUGAGGGGGAGUAUUGAAACAUAAAUAGAUUCUAGCUCCUUUGACCAUUCCAACUUUGACUCAGAAGAACUCCACUUCAAGAACAGAGCAACUGAAGCUAACAACCAUAACUACUUUAACCAUUUUUAGUUAGAUAGUUAACUUUUCUGUUAAUUAGUUAUUCAGUUGUUGUAUCAUUAUAAAUAGAUCAUAUCAUGUAAGGAGAAGAAUUCAAUUCAAUUCAUUCAAAAAUAAAGAGUUGUAUUUCUUUCUUCUCAUCUCCCCUGUUUUCGAACAGAUUUUCUUGUCAACUUCUUUACACAAGACAGCAACCCAAGAGGGGGGUGAAUUGGGUUUCUAAAAAGUUUGAACAAAAUAAACUUAUCUAAGUGAGUGCAGUGUUUGUGUUUCAGUGAAUUUGGAAAGUAAGAGCAGUAAAUGAAAGUACUAAAUAUAACAGAAGAUAAUAAAAGAUAGAGAAAGAGAAAGCACAUAGAAUUUUUGCAGUGGUUUAGAGCAAAUCCGCUCCUCAAGGCUCUCUUGAGAAUUUUACUAUAUAAUCUUCAUAUUACAACAACCGACUUCCCAAGUGUUAGCAAGACCUUCACCGAGUUUUUCUUCCCAAAGCUCUCAACCAGCCAACUUUUUAGGUAUUGGCAGAACCUCACAGAGCUUGUCUCCCCAAAGCCUUCAACCAGCCAACUUCCCAAGUGUUGGCAAGACCUUCAUGAGUUUCUCAUCCCAAAACUCACAAUUAUAUCACUUCCAGAUCUUUGAACAAAAGCAAAUACAAUAGAACCUCUCUCAAGUUGAAUACAACAAGUGUAGCACUCAAUAAUGAACACUAAAAAUUCUAGGGAACCUCGGAUCUAUAAUCAAUGCUCGUUUCGCCCUAAGUUCAUUGUGGACUAUGUACUUUCCAUGUUUGUUCAUGUAAGCACCUUGUCUUGUUUGUUCAAGUUUGUUCUCUUGUUAUUUAAGUUAUAUGGAAGUUUCUCUUAUAUCGUUGAUGAGUUAAUGUAACUGUUUGUAGCCAUUGGAGUCCACAGUCAUCGCAUGGAAUGCCAUAGUCGCACUUGAAUGUUGCAGAUGACUAACCAUUACUAUAUCAAUUUACUACAGAGGAGGCAUGAUGGGGACAUCAGAGCCCUUCAUCCAGAUAAUCCUAAGCUCUUGGAUUGAGUCAGACUCGGAUUGGGUCCAUUUGAGUCCGAGUCGUUUUCUUUUAUUGCAUUAUUUGCUUUUGUCUUAGUAAAGUCAAUUUGGUCAAUGUUUUGUUAUUAGACUAGUCAAUUGGGUUAAUUUAGGUCCAAAUUUAAUCGGCGUCAAUUGAUUGAUUUGAUCAAUUGAUUACUUGAUUUGGUCAAGAUGUAAGGUCUAUAUAAAGACCACCCCUCUCAUGUAUGAGGCAAUUGAUGAUUGAAUGAAAAAAUCCUAGCCUCCUUCUUGUUCUUCUUCUUCCUCCUCCUUCUCUUCUUCUUGCGUCUCUACAACCUCUUCUUCCCUUCUCCCUCCCUUGUUCUUCCUUCUUCUCCUCUUUUCCUNNNNNNNNNNNNNNNNNNNNUCUUCCUUCUCCCUCCCUUGUUCUUCCUUCUUCUCCUCUUUUCCUGCACUUGUGCUACAUCAGCUUGGUAUCAGAGCUUCAGCUUUGCCCCUGCUGCCAAAGCCACGAUCCAGGUUCUCUUCUCUCCCUCGGUUCCGCUAACAAUCAGAACAGGCUCCCACCCUCUCUCCGUCAGUUCAGCUCAUCAGAGAGAGAAAAAAGAAGGCCAUCUCUCUCUCUCUCUCUCUCGGCAAAGCCUUCCCAUAGAGCCUAUCUGGAGCCGCACGAGAAGGGAAGAAGGGAAGAACCCUUGUCCCGCCGUCCCGUGUCUCCAUCCACUCCCGUGCGCCUCCUUCUCCGCGGUCGACCGCAGCGCUGCUCCACCGCCUUUGCGCGGCACCGCUGCUGCAUCACGCCGCCGCCGCGCCCCUCCGCCGUUCACCACCGCUCGCGCCUCUCGCCGCCCGAGCUCCCCACCCCCCAAACUGGCAUCGGUCAACACCCACAAACCGAGCCACCCUUUCCCACUUCCCCUCUAACUAUCGGGCCAGCAGGGCCUCACCCGAGUCCCAUUAGCCCCUGUCUGAGCCGCAGUGCACCAAGGCCUUUGGGCCCAAUUCCUCUAGCCCUUCUCUCAAGGUCCAUCAGCCCAUUGUUUUACAGGCCCAUAGCUGCAGGCCCACAGGUCAGUCAGGUCCCGUGCUGCUGAUUGUCUCCCUGCCAAGUUGCUAUAAUCAGGUCCCGUUGAAGUCAUUUGCCAAGCCUACUUGCUGCGCCGUACUCUGGUCAUCUGCUUCACGAUAGAGCCCAGUUGCAGCGCCUUGACCCCAAUAUUAUAGAGCAGUACGACAGCCGGCCAGACCUGUACUCGACGGAGUCGAGUUUUUCUCACCCGGGAGGAGUUGAUGGGGACAUCAGAGCCCUUCAUCCAAAUGAUCCUGAGCCCCCGGAUUGAGUCAGACUCGGAUUGGGUCCAUUUGAGUCCGAGUCGUUUUCUUUUAUUGCAUUAUUUGCUUUUGUCUUAGUAAAGUCAAUUUGGUCAGUUGUUUUGUUAUUAGACUAGUCAAUUGGGUUUAUAUAAUUGGGUUAAUUUAGGUCCAAAUUUAAUCGGUGUCAAUUGAUUGAUUUAAACAAUUGAUUACUUGAUUUGGUCAAGAUGUAAGGUCUAUAUAAGACCACCCCUCUUAUGUAUGAGGCAAUUGAUGAUUGAAUGAAAAAAUCCUAGCCUCCUUCUUAUUCUUCUUUUUCUUUCUCCUCCCCUUCUGUUCUUUCUGCGUCUCUACAACCUCUUCUUUUUUCUCCCUUCUUUGUUCUUCCUUCUUCUCCUCUUUCCCUGCACUUGCUACAUCAAGGCAGCUCCUUGAUCUUGAGAAAUGGCUCCUAUCAGAUGAACACCUCUAGGGAUGGCUCUUGUGACCUGCGGCAAUGACACUUGCAUUUCGGUCUCUUUGCCCAAAUAUCUUAGAGAUAGCUCUGGGUCGCCGAGAGAUGACUUCUGGUUUUUCUGUACGAACCCACUCCUUAGGCAUGAGAUGGCUCCUUGAAUCCCAAGGCGGCUCUUGGACCGACUUGUCUUUGUUUGGUUCCUAGGAGAUGACUCCUGUCUUUCUAGAAUUGGCUUCUGUAUAUUUGUUGGUCAGCUCUUCUCCACUAGAGACAACUCCUGAAUUGUGCUAGUUGACUCUUGUCUGCUGGAGAUGACUUCUGAGUUUAGCUCAUGUCCCUAGAAACGACUCCUAAUCAGCUAGAGAUGGCUCCUCUAGUUCCGUAACAUCUUUUGGUUCUAGGAGAUGGCUCUGCCUAAUUUAAAGAUGGCUCCCCAUUUAUGAAGCUUCCUUUAUAUAUGGAGAGGACGACUCCUGUUACUUGGGAGAUGGCUCCUCACUAUAAUUUCUUACAAUCAAGAUCUUUUCUUGAAUAAGGCAAUUCCAAACAUGUUAGUAACUCUCAAAUAUUUUGUUAUCAUUAAAAUCAAUCCUUUAGGAUCAACAAUCUUCCCCUUUUUUAUGAUGACAAAAUCUUGAAGUAUUUACAGUAAAAACUAUAAUUACCUUAUGACUUUCGUAAUGUAUUAGAGCAUAUUACUUUCAAUAUAAUUUUCAGAAAAUCAGAGCAAUCAGGAUACUUGACAAGCAGUAUCAGAGCAUUUGACAAACAGCAUUAAAGCAUUAUAGCUUUCAUAUUAAUCACAGCAUAUUAAUUCAAAAUGACUUGCAAAAGAUUUUAUCUUUUUAUUCAAAUAUUUGAAAUAUAGAAUCACAGCACAUGAGAUCAGAAGAAUGAUUUCCAGCAUAUCAGAGCAUUCAAAACAAUUUGGGGCACUUUGUAUUAGAACAUUAUUAUAUAUUAGUUCGUGUAUCAGAGGAUUCCAAAGAUAGUAUUAGAGCAAAUUAAAUUAGAAGGACAAUUUUCAGAGCAUUAGAACAAAUUAGAUUACAAGAAUAAUUUUUAAAUAUGUAUCAGAGCAAUAGAAUGAUUUUCAGAAUAUCUUCAGCAAUUUAAAUGAGUUUCAGUCUGUUUCAAAUCAAUUUAGUGUAUUUGGGUAUGUAUUAGAGUGUAUUAGUGUAAUUUCCCAUUUGGAUUGAUCUUUCUUUGUUUGAUCUUUCUCUUUGUUUGAUUUUUCCUUACCAUUCCUCAUCUUGUUGUCAAAUUGUUCUUCUGCUAUCUCUACCCCUUGCUGUUAACAAUAUUUCUCUCCCUUUUUGUCUGAUUAUUAUUAUUCUUAUAGUAUCUCUCCCUCUCUUUGAUAUACUUUACUGUUUCUUACUUUACUAUUUCUUCUCUAAUCUUCUCUCCCUCUUUUUUGUGCAUAUACUCUACUAUAUUACUUUCCCUUUUUGUCAUCAUCAAAUAGAUACAAAGCAGAGCAAAUUUGUCAAAUAAACAAGUUUAAUAUUUAAUGUAUCAAAGCAAAAGGUUAAGCAAGAACAUAGACAAUUUUGUAAAUUGAGAUUUCAUUAAACUGAGAUAUAUGUGCAAAUACAAUAAGAGAAACAAUUUUUUUUUAAAAAAAAAAUCUAAGCAUCUAUUCCUUCUUAUGUAGAACUUGAGUUGUUUCGGUCCUAGUUGAUCCUUGCCAAGAAGCAGGUCCAGAAGGUCUGAAGGAAGGUCUAGACUACUGUGCAUGAGGAGACCUAGUCCUGCGAUUCGUAGGUUCAUAAGAAGGUCCCCUAGAUGGCUGUGGAGGAGAGAAGGAAGGUCGGAUUACUUGCUCUACAAGUCUUUUCAGGCUUUGUGCUACCUUGGUGGUGGAGACAAAGAAGGUUUCAUUUAUCUUAGCAUUCUACUCCUUGAGCUGAGACAUCCCCUUUGGACCUUCACUUCUCAGCCUCCCAGUAGCUGCACUCAGAUGCAUGUUCUCCUUAUAAACUUUUGUUUGCUUCAGCUCCUGAACUUCUGAUUCCAAGUUGCUGACUUUGAAGUGCAAAGAGUCCACCUUCAUGUUCACAGUGCUAAGUUGGUAGCCGAUGUUGGUUAUUAGCUCGGCCAGCAUGUUAUUGUGGGGAACAAUCUCUGACUCCCUUUGAGCAGUCGUGCUCAUGCUCUGCUCAAACAGAAGUCUUUCUGCAAUUUUAUUAUAUAAUUUUUCUGUUACUUCUUGCAUAACUUCUUGGAAGACCUCCUUUGUUCACCUAUUGAAGCGCUCAGUCUGCAUGGGAUCAUUAGAUACAGGAGUUCCUUCCCUGAUAAUCCUUUCGAAGAUUCCUUCAAAUACAUCAUCAGCAAAUUAUCCUUCAGCAUCUCUUCUUUCUUCAAAUUCCUGAUCAUACAUAGGAACUGAAGGUUCUGCUGCUAGUGCUUGUUCUUCUUCUCUUCUUUCUUCCUCUUCUUCAUCCUUCCCUUUUAUACGCUCCUUCACUUUAAUCCACUGUCUGCAGCCCAUUUUUGAGAAAGUCUUCUUGUUGCAUGUGUCCGCAUGGUGUAGUUCCCUUUUUGCAUCCCCUUUUAGAACCACUUUAAACUUCUUGAAGAUGACUAUGAAAACCAUUCCGUACGGCGGGGCAGUGUUUGAACUACGCACUGUAUCAAGCAAAUGGUUCAUCAUCAUCGGAGGCAGGUUGAUUGGAUUCCUAUUGAUAACAUUGUACAUGGCAAGCAAGUCCCCAUCUGGGACGAGAUCAAAUUUUCUAAUUGUUCGAAAGAAAAUUCUUGAAAUCAUAUGGUGGAGCAGCCUCGUCUCCAUAUUCAGUUGACUAGCAUUAACUUUCUCUAAUUCAGUCAAAUCUCCUUUAUUUAAGAUCUGCUCCAAUGCUUCCUUUCUGUUCUCUAGCUUCUCUGAACCGUCUCCAUCAUAGGAUAACUUUGAUAUUUCUCCUCGCUUCUUAUGAUCAAAUGAAAUCUGAACAUCCUUCACCACAGAAGUUAUUCAGUUCGCAUCAUACUCCAAGUUUGCAUAAAACUCUUUGACCAACUCAGGAUAGAUGGGUUCUUUCAGACUAGCCAUAAAAUCCCACCCCAUGCAUUUGAUGCUUUGCCCGAUUUUAGACCUUCUUUUUCAGAGAAAUCAAAAUUUAUAUUUUUGCCAGUGGUAACAGUUUUAUUAAGCAUCGAAGACUUAUUUGUUCCUUUCCUUUUUCAUUUGAAGUCCUCUCCGACUAUUCUUCCGAAACAAUUUUCUUCUUCCCCUUCUUUUGUAGCUGUGGUUCAGCUUUCUCUCUCUUUCCACGAGAGUCGGAGCUCUUCGGAGUCAUGGGAGUCCUUGGGGUUGAUGCGAUGCAGAGUUCUAAAGCUGUUGGAGGAGGGAAGGCUUAGGUUUGAAAUGGAGGAGAUAGGAUGGGAGUUGAAGUUCACUUAGAGGAUGGCUCUUAGGGAUUCUAUUGAAUGAACAAAAAGGGCUCGUUUAGUUCGCGGAAAUCAUUUUUUUUUUAAGAAAUAUAAUUUGGAAAAAGUAGAUUUCUAAAAAGAGAAUGCCUAAAAAAGUAUUUUUGGCAUGUUUGCUUAACUAUGGAAAAGUGACAGAUUUCAGAACGCUUAUGUUUGGUUGACCAUCCACUUUUUUGAAAAAGUUAUGUAUAAUUUCUAUUAUACCCCUAAUAAAAAUUAGGUCUUUAAUGCAUCUUUAAUACUUGUUGCCCAGAUAGACAACCCAAAGGGGGGGGGUGAAUUGGGUUUUUAAAAUAAUUUGGCUAAUUAAAACUUUGUGGAUGAUUAAUUAAAAACUAUAGCAAGUUAUUUAAUUAAAGCCUAGUGCUGUGAGUAAUGUGCGGGGAAGAAGAUGAGAGACAAUGCACUACAAACACAAAGUUUUAUAGUGGUUCGGAGCUAACCCUUGCUCCUACGUCCACUCCCCAAGUCUCACUUGGGAAUUUCACUAUAACCUCCUUGGAUUACAGCCGGUUGUUUUGCAAGCUCACAACCAAACUUGUUGUUUUACGAGCUCACAACGAACUCGGUCGGUUUUCCCAGGCUCACCGACUAGAACCAACCCCAAUUGUUUUUUCCGGGCUCACAAUCAAACCCUUACACACGUUGGUUUUAACUUGGCUCACCAACCAACCUUAAACCCCUUGAUUCAAUCCCCCGAUUGAAUCAAGUAAAUACAAGAGAUAGAAGAAAACAGAAAAUAGCUUCUCAAAAAGCAGAUUUAAAACAAUAUAAUCGUAAAGGAGUUAGAAGCCCUCAAACGCUUUUAAGCUCGUGAAGAGGUAUGGCUUCUGGAACUCCGGUCUCCUCUUGAAAGAGUGGUCGACUUGAAUGCAGGAGGAGGAAGCUUUGAUUGUUGGGAAGAAGUUGUUGGAGCAGUAAA